rnacentral:rRNA from 1 species
UGCAUGAAGCCGGAAUUGCUAGUAAUGGCAGGUCAGCAUACUGCCGUGAAUACGUUCCCGGGCCUUGUACACACCGCCCGUCACACCAUGAGAGUUGGGGAUACCCAAAGCCCGUGAGCCAACAUUAAAUGAGGCAGCGGUCUAAGGUAGAAUCAAUGAUUGGGGUGAAGUCGUAACAAGGUAUC